UACGAAGGGGGCUAGCGUUGUUCGGAAUUACUGGGCGUAAAGCGCACGUAGGCGGAUUGGCAAGUCAGGGGUGAAAUCCCGGGGCUCAACCUCGGAAUUGCCUUUGAUACUGCCAGUCUAGAGUCCGGAAGAGGUGGGUGGAAUUCCUAGUGUAGAGGUGAAAUUCGCAGAUAUUAGGAAGAACACCGGUGGCGAAGGCGGCCCACUGGUCCGGAACUGACGCUGAGGUGCGAAAGCGUGGGGAGCAAACAGG
rnacentral:rRNA from 1 species